GAGAGCCGAAACUACAGAAUGUAA
rnacentral:siRNA from 1 species